rnacentral:tRNA from 1 species
GCCGAAGUGGUGGAACUGGUAGACGCGCUGGACUCAAAAUCCAGUGUCCGCAAGGACGUGUGGGUUCGAGUCCCACCUUCGGCACCA